AUUUUCUUUAGCAUCAUUGCCAGAGUUCCUGCCUUCGUCCCAGUGCCGGUGAGGGUGGAAGAAUUUCCAGUGUUGCUGAAAACCGGACAAAACUUCGGCUGAAAAAUGGACGAGACUUCGGAUCAAGCUAGCUGCCUGCAGAACUUACCUGGACUGUGAACUUACCUGGACUGUGAUUUACCUGGACUGUGAGUUAAUCUAUUGAGACACUGCUUUACCUGGACUGAGACAACAAACUGUAAUCUAUAACAAAUUGUAACUCGGUAUCUUUGCUAACGGUGUCAUUGCUGAUAUAAUUUUUCCAAGGGCUUCUUGCAUGGAGCCAUCAAUUGGCUUGGUAUUGUGGUAUUUUGUAUCCUCCCCUUCUGCUUGUAGCAGAUUAUUCAUGGCGUUUGUGUAAAAACCACUAUGGUCGUUAUUUAAAUUAAACAAAAGGGGGAAAUGUUAGGGUCUGUAAACAAGUCAAGGUGGCGCCUGGCAUUUUGCCAGAGGGAGUGGUUUGUGGUGUAUCGCC
rnacentral:lncRNA from 1 species